GCCUGGGUUGCUCAGUCGGUUAAGUGUCUGACUUCGGCUCAGGUCAUGAUCUUGUGGUUCGUGGGUUCAAGCCCCACAUCAGGCU
rnacentral:tRNA from 1 species